rnacentral:rRNA from 1 species
UGUUUUUCCAUUGUAAAUGUAGUAAAUUAAAAAAAAACGUAUACAGAUACGAAAGAAUAUACAGAUAUGAGAGAAUAUGUUAAGAAAUUGAAUUAUUUUUAUUUUAACUAUGAUGGGAGAGCAAAUCCGCCGAAUUUAAGCAUAUAAUUAAGCGGAAGAAAAGAAAAUAACUAUGAUUCCCUAAGUAACGGCGAGUGAACAGGGAAAAGCUCAAAAGGAAAAUCCUAUUCAUGCCGAAAAUCAUGUUAAGGAAUUGUCUGGUUGGAGUUCAUCCUUUUCUAUAAUUUAUGUUAAGUUGCGAAAUGAGUAGGAAUACUAUUCCAUAGAGGGUGAAAGACCCGUAGCUCCUUGCAUUCUAUAGAAAUGGUGAUUCUCUGCAGAGUAGUGUUCUUUGAGAUUGGAGCACAAAUGUGUGUGAUAGAUUUCACAUAAAGCUAAAUAUUUGUAGGAGACCGAUAGUAAACAAGUACCGUGAGGGAAAGAUGAAAUAGUACUCAGGAAUGAGAUUUAAAUAGUACCUGAAAUCGUUAAGGUGGAACGGAUUGAGAGAGAAAUAACGUAAGAUGUGAUUUAAUUUUCCUGCUUUUCGGAGCAGUUUUAAUUCAUAUCUUAUUAAAAGAAGCAUCAGUGAAAUUUAGCAUUUGCAUUAUAGUUAAACAGCUAUCUUUGGUCAUGCAAAUAUAUCAUAUCUACUUCCGCUAAUAUGGUUGUAGAAAUAUCUAUUAUUGCUUGCUACAUUUACUGAGGUUUAAUAAAAUCAUUAGGGUUUUUGUCCUUAUUGAUUUAAGUUGCUUCUAAAAAGCACUUUCUCAACCCACUCGUCUUGAAACACGGACCAAGGAGUCUAACAAAUGUGCAAGCGUAUAUAUGUUUUUAACUAUAACGAAAUAUAUCAGAAAUUCAGAAUCGAUAAUACGCAUAAUUAAUGUAAUUAAUUGGUAGAUAUUUGGGGUUCCCCCAUUUUGCAUACCAUGCCGGUUGGCAAUUAUGCUAAAUUGAGUGAGAGUAUAUUUGUUAGGACCCGAGAGGCUUUGAACUAAGCGUGGUGAGAUUGAAGUCAGGCGAAAGUCUGAUGGAGGAUCGAAUUGAUACUGACGUGCAAAUCGUUCAUUUCAAUCACGUUUAGGGGCGAAAGACUAAUCGAAAAGCCUAUUAGCUGGUUAUUUUCGAAAGAUCUCUCAGGAUCGCUGGAGUUGAUUAAUAUAGUUUUACGAGGUAGAGAUAAUGAUUAGAGGACUCAGGGAAAACGUUUCCUUGACCUAUUCUCAAACUCCCAAUACGUAACAAGGAAAUAAUAUCUUAAAUUGUAUUAUUUCCACUUUAUAAAUAAAAUAACUCCAAGUGGGCCAUUUUUGGUAAGCAGAACUGGCGAUGAGGGAUGCUCCUAACGCUUGGAUAAGGUGCCUAAAUAUUCGCUCAUUAGAUCCCAUAAAAGGUGUUGGUUCAUAAUGACAGUAGGACGGUGGUCAUGGAAGUCGAAAUCCGCUAAGGAGUGUGUAACAACUUACCUACCGAAUGAACUAGCCCUGAAAAUGGAUGGCGCUAAAGCGAGUUACCGAUACCGAGCCAUAGAAGGAGGUUGAAAGGUUUAAUUGAGGUUCUCCUCAAUUUAUCUUUUUUAAAAUCUUUCUAUGAGUAGAAAAUCGUGGGGUUUGUGUAGAAGCAAUAUGCGUGAGCUAUUGUGGAACAUAUCCCUAGUGCAGAUCUUGGUGGAAGUAGCAAUUAUUCAAAUGAGAACUUUGAAGACUGAAGUGGAGAAGGGUUUCUUGUCAACUGUGAUUGUACAAGAGUUAGCCGCUCCUAAGGGAAAGCUGAAAAGCAUUUAAAUGGGGAUUUGGUGUUGCAAGAAUUGUUGCAUCUUUUCUCUGUCUCAAAAGGGAAACAGGUUAAUAUUCCUGUGCCUAAGUUAUUUAGUUUAUUAAAAUAUAGUUGGUAACAUAAAAUUGAACUCCUUAACAUAGGUUUUACGAUCGAGAUGCGUUAUCUUUGCAUUUUAACUUUAUAGCAAACCUCGGAAUCAAAUUAAUUGGAGAACAGGUUUGUUGAAUUACGAUUCAGGGUUUUUUUAAGUGCUGGGAUAAUAUAUAAGUCCCCAUUUUAAAAAAUUCUGUUUUGUAGUAAUAGUAGUUCAAUUUAUGGAUUAUUCGAUAUGUAAGAACUAUCCUUGAAAAAAGGGGGGAACAGCGAUUAUAAUGGAGCAUGAAAAUAAUACAAAUUAUUUAUAAUUUGUAUUUAUUUUCAUGUAACGUUAUAUUUGCGCAUUAACAUAAAAAUACUUAUGAGCGUACCCACAACCGCAUCAGGUCUCCUAGGUUAAUAGCCUCUGGUUAAAUAGAAAAAAGUAAGUAAGGGAAGUCGGCAAAAUAGAUCCGUAACUUCGGGAAAAGGAUUGGCUCUGAGGACAUAAGAGUAGAGAGAAGUUUAAAAUAUCAUUUAAAUAAAGAUAUAAAGAAUGCUUCAUGGUUCGCCGUGAUGUAUUUUUGCAUUAUCUUGUUUUUCAUAAUGGUUUUUUUUUCUAUCCUUCUAUUCGCCGCUGUUUUGGUUGUCACUUCGGUGAUGGCCUUAAUGGCUCAUCAUGUUAACUCAGAACUGAAACGGACAAGGGGAAUCCGACUGUUUAAUUAAAACUUAGCUUUGUGAUAGCCAGAAAUGGUAUUAACACAAAGUGAUUUCUGCCCAGUGCUUUGAAUGUCAACUUGAUGAAAUUCAAUCAAGCGCAGGUAAACGGCGGGAGUAACUAUGACUCUCUUAAGGUAGCCAAAUGCCUCGUCAUCUAAUUAGUGACGCGCAUGAAUGGAUUAACGAGAUUCCCACUGUCCCUACUUGCUAUCUAGCGAAACCACAGCCAAGGGAACGGGCUUGGCCAAAUCAGCGGGGAAAGAAGACCCUGUUGAGCUUUACUCUAGUCUGGCUUUGUGAAACGACUUAAGAGGUGUAGUAUAAGUGGGAGUAGAGAUUGAAAUAUAUUUUCUACGUCAGUGAAAUACCACUACUUUUAAAGUUGUUUUACUUAUCUGUUUAUAGGGAAAUAUAUUUAUACAGGCCAAGAACUUCGGUUUUUGAUGCUUGGUAUAUCUAAUAUUAUUUGAAUUUAAUGGGGCCUUACGGCUUUCAUUAUUCUCCCACACUAUGGAGACAUAGCCAGGUGGGGAGUUUGACUGGGGCGGUACAUCUGUUAAACAAUAACGCAGAUGUCCAAAGACAAGCUCAAAGAGAACAGAAAUCUCUUGUAGACUAAAAGGGGAAAAGCUUGUUUGAUUUCUAUUUUCAGAAAAAGUAGAAAACGUGAAAGCGUGGCCUAUCGAUCCUUUAUUAUUGCAAAAUUACAAGACUUGUUCUUUACU